rnacentral:lncRNA from 1 species
CAGGUAUGUCCUGCCACAUGGGCUGUUGCACCAGGGACUGCAUUGUCUUAGAAUGUUCCUUCCCCCCUGGCAGUUGCUCACAGCCUCCAUUCCUAUCACAGCCACCUGGAUGGAAAGUAAUCCCCUGCUCUGAGCCUUCAUUCCCCUUCCCACUUGAUUUUUGUUGUUCUUGGAAUAAGUCCCUUCCUAAUGAGCCGUGCAACUAAUUAUUUCCUUGUUUAUUGACUGUCUACUUGGCAGUAGGCAAGCUGUAUGAGGAUGAAUGGAGAGUGUUUUCUGCUUCCUGCUUCCUGCUUCCUGUUUCCUGAUUCCUGCUUUCUGCUUCUCACUUCCUGCUUCCUGCUUCCCACUUCCUGCUUCAGGGCCCGCAUUCACCUGAUACUCCACAGCCCAACUAGUACCACAUCUCAGCUAAUCUUGGAGAUCCAACAGCUGAUGGGAGCUAUGCCUCCAGGUGAUUCUCAGGCGCUCCAGGUCUACUGUUUAGCACGAACCCAGGUAUGCAUUCAGAUCCCCCCUAAAUAAAGAAACAUUCGAACAAGCUAAGAUCGUUUCAGAGAGCUGCUUCAUUAAAGAUCAUCAGAGAAGACCUCCAUCUGGAUUCUGCUUCACUCCCUCCUGGCCUGGCAGGCAGCUGCGUCUGGCACCCUGAAGGGAAAAGGUGGGUUGUGCAUCCUGACCAUUCCAGACUUGACCCUGUCCUCUCCUAGUCAGUGCACCUGUGGUUUCUGGACACCCUGGGAGGAGAGG